UUGGGUGAGAGGCUCUGAAGGCUUUGUUUCGUGUCUCUCAGGGUUGGUCUUACUGUGACAGGAGAAAGAUAUUAACAGUGUUGGGGACGCUUGAAGCGGGCCUCCGUCUCCAACUGCAUCUCGAAGCGCUGACUCUACACCCUGCUGGGAUACAUGUGGUCAGACCUACCUACAGGGAUGGAUCCGCGGCGGCAGAGUGGACCACCACCAUCCACAAUCAUAGCACUACCAACAUGUCAACACUCCAGGUUAACCAGAACUUUAGUCAAGCUUUAAGGAGGGCUGUCUGAUAACAGAGGACACACAUUUGAAGAAACAACAACCAUCAGAGCGGACGUGCACCAACUCUCAACACUCAGUCAACAACAGCACAGACGGUGCAUGUUAUUCAUAUGGUUGCUUUAAGUGUUUCUUUCUCUUUGAGGAAGUUCCACCUAUUAUCCUGAAAUAUAAAUCACACAUGUCAUUAAGGUGUCUUUUUUUUCUGAAAACAAUAGUGUCUGUUCUCGAAUGCAGAAGACAGUGGGAGGCUUUCUGUGCCACCCCCGACUCUCUUGCAUCUUGUCGAUGGCUCCACUAAUCGCCAUGACUGACUGACCUUUAGGCCGGUCCCCUUCUGGGAUUUACACCUUUCACUGGCUCGACCUUUGCCAUCCAACCCUCCUACAGACACUCUCGUCACGUGAGCUCAGCAUCAGCGCUGGACAAGACCUGCUGCUGGCCAAUGUGUAGGCUGCUGCUGCCUCAGCAAGUCAAAACCUCUCUAGGUGGUAUGAUUCAGCCGGUGCUUCAUUAACCCACCCCCCAACCUCAACCAGCUCAUCUACCCCCCACCUGCAUCAAGAAAGUUUCCCCUAUGGCCUGGAGCAAGGUAGACCUGCUUAAAGCUCAGCCUAAUGACGUGUGCCAUGGUGCAGGAGACCAAAUGCCACCACCACAUAUGGGGAUGAUUACAGGAAGUGGUGCAGAAUUGUAGGGGGACCUCAAGAUUUUGAGGGGUGGGUGUUGGGGACUCAAUUGUGGCACUGCGGCUGUGAAUUCCCAGAGGCCUUUGUGUGGGGAAACUCAGCAAAAGCUUCAUCCUGCCCAGGUCACGCAAAUUUAGGAAAAAAUGCUCAGCUUCUGGGGGUAGCGUUCUCUUUGUUCCUUAAUUAAACACCCAUGAUGCAUUGCCUUUGCAGAUUUAAUAAAAAACAAACAAAAUACUAGGCAGUGGUUUCCCUUAAAUGGCAAACAAAUAGAUGCACUCAAAGUCAAGUCAACUGUCUUGUUCUGCUAAAGUCAAAAAAACUUUCUUGUUCUUUAAAACAGUGGCUAAAGUUAAUUAAGCUUUUCCUGUUUGUAGAGAAGUUGUUCUUCUCUGAGUCUGCAUGUGCACUGGAGCAUGAAAGAAGAAAGAAAGAAACAAUUUGCUGUACACUUUUUGUAGAUACUUUGUUUUUCUCUACUGAUCUUCUCUGUGAAUCCCAUCCAAACCAGAGGCUUUUCUUUAGCAGUCCGUCUGGUCCAGAAGCACUGAUUUUACUCUCACUAAGAGUGAAAUCAGCACAAGGACUUUUAUACUUCAUCACCUUACU